UUGAAAUCUCGACCCAAAAUAUAUACAUGCCGUUACAUUCUUCGUUAGUCUUAUGUAAUUAUUCAUUUUUCAAAGGGUAAUUCUGUAUUUGCCCUCUCUCUCUCUCUCUCUCGCUGAAACAAACUAGCUAGCUGCCCAUAGCAAGAGUUGCGUGUCUCACUCUUGGUCCAACACGUGUAUCUUCUGUUCUCCUUCUUCCUCUUCCUCUUCCUCUUCCUCGUCUCCACUCUCAUGCCGGUGCUGUAAGAGCAUUUGAACUAGGAGAUAUGAUUCUGAAGCUUGUUAAGUGGGUUGAAUGAUGGUCAUUUUCUCGAAUCUCUCCCACCUUUCCUCAACCCCUCGCCGCCUCCCCUGAAACCUGAAUCCACCUCUCUCCCUCCUCUCUUACAAAAAGAACUCGAACUCACAUUCAAAUUCCCUCUGAAAUUCGGACCUCUCCUCCCCGAAAAAUCAUCUUCCAUUCUUCCUUCACAACAUUAUCCCCAAAUUUGUUAUCAAAUCUUCUAUCUAUCCUUGGAUUUCUAGUAAAUGCAGACAGAUUCGAGCUCGGAAAUCGUCUCCGAUUCGACUCACCAAACCAGUCAUUGGAGCUCGAACUCCCACGAUUGCAUCCCAGAAAAGAGCGACUCGGAGACCGAAACCCUCCCCGAGUUCUCGACUCACCAAACUCGUCGGAGCAGCUAACUCUCCUGCUCCGCUUCGCUGGAUACAGCUCCCUAUCACCACCCCUAUCUCUACCUCUCCGACCACCACCACCGAGAACAGAAGACACAAAUGAUGCAAAAAAUCUCUCACCGAUUUAUCAUCAGUUAGGGUUUUUGUUCUGGGCUGCAGCUAAUUCAAGCGAACCCCAUUUAGUUCAAAUGGCAAUAAUAGUUGAUGAUAAUGGUUGGAGUAUAAACAUCAGAAGCUAUUGUGAUCAGACCCAUUUGUGUAUUCAAAGAGAUAACUACAUAAUAGUGUUUUAAUCUAGCAAGUUGGCCUAAGAGUUGAUUGAAGGAGACAACAGAAGGCAAAGGAUCGAUUAGAGACUUUGGGAUUUGAGGACCGAUUUUGAUGCGUUUGUGUGGAUUUGGUUGGGUAUGAGAUUUGGUCGAAGUGUGUUGGUUGACUGUGGUCACUGUGAGAAAGGAUGGGUUUUGGAUUCAAGAGAGAUUGAGGGAGAAAGGCAGAGAGCCAUCCUAAUAGAUCUGGGCUUUAGGAGAAUUGAGCAGCUCCGAGCAUCAUCAAAAUAUGUGACAAACAGAGAGAGAGGGAGAGAGAGAGAAUGAGAGAGAUCAGAUCCCUUUUUUUGUUUUUUUCUUUUUUAGUCUUCUUUAUCAAUCCUUGAAAAGACGUAUUUGCCCUUAUAAUUUUGACAAAAGUCUCAUUGACUAACGGAGAAUUUAACGGCAUGUAUACAUUUUGGGUCGAGAUUUCAAGUUCAUGUACCGAAAUGAUUGUUUUGAAACUUAAUGUACUGAAGUUCGGAGUCACCUA